UUGAAAAAAAGGAGAAAACUC
rnacentral:piRNA from 1 species